GCUGGCGGCGUGGAUUAGGCAUGCAAGUCGAACGCGAACGUCACCUUCGGGUGAUUAGUAGAGUGGCGAACGGGUGAGUAACGCGUGAGAAACCUGCCCAGAAGUGGGGAAUAACACUCCCAACGGGGUGCUAAUACCGCAUGUGAUGUGAGUAUCGCAUGGUACACACAGGAAAGAUGGCCUCUGCUUGCAAGCUAUCGCUUCUGGAUGGUCUCGCGUCCGAUUAGCUUGUUGGUGGGGUAACGGCCCACCAAGGCGACGAUCGGUAGCUGGUCUGAGAGGAUGGUCAGCCACACUGGGACUGAGAUACGGCCCAGACUCCUACGGGAGGCAGCAGUCGAGAGGCUUUGUCAAUGGGGGAAACCCUGAACAAGCGACGCCGCGUGGGGGAUGACGGCCUUUGGGUUGUAAACCCCUUUCAGCAGGGACGAAUGUUGCACGGGUGAAUAAUCCGUGCAGUUGACGGUACCCGCAGAAGAAGCUCCGGCUAACUCCGUGCCAGCAGCCGCGGUAAUACGGGGGGAGCGAGCGUUGUUCGGAAUCACUGGGCGUAAAGGGCGUGUAGGCGGUUUGGUAAGUGAGAUGUGAAAGCCCCCGGCUCACCCGGGGAUGUGCAUUUCAAACUGCCAGACUUGAGUACGGAAGAGGAUGGGGGAAUUCCUGGUGUAGCGGUGAAAUGCGUAGAUAUCAGGAGGAACACCGGUGGCGAAGGCGCCCAUCUGGUCCGUUACUGACGCUGAUGCGCGAAAGCUAGGGGAGCGAACGGGAUUAGAUACCCCGGUAGUCCUAGCCGUAAACGGUGGGCACUAGGUGUUGGAGGCAUCGACCCUUCCAGUGCCGCAGCUAACGCAAUAAGUGCCCCGCCUGGGGAGUACGGUCGCAAGACUGAAACUCAAAGGAAUUGACGGGGCCCGCACAAGCGGUGGAGCAUGUGGUUCAAUUCGACGCAACGCGAAGAACCUUACCCAGGCUUGACAUGUUCUGGACCGGUGUGGAAACACACCUUCCCUUCGGGGCCAGUGCACAGGUGCUGCAUGGCUGUCGUCAGCUCGUGUCGUGAGAUGUUGGGUUAAGUCCCGCAACGAGCGCAACCCUUGCCCUUAGUUGCUAACGAAUUAUGUCGAGCACUCUAGGGGGACUGCCGGCGGUAAGCCGGAGGAAGGUGGGGAUGACGUCAAGUCCUCAUGGCCCUUACGCCUGGGGCUACACACGUGCUACAAUGACCGACACAAUGGGCUGCGAUACCGCGAGGUGGAGCCAAUCCCAAAAAGUCGGCCUCAGUUCGGAUUGCAGUCUGCAACUCGACUGCAUGAAGGUGGAAUCGCUAGUAAUCGCUGAUCAGCAGGCAGCGGUGAAUACGUUCCCGGGCCUUGUACACACCGCCCGUCAAGCCACGAAAGUUGGCAGUACCCGAAGUCGCCGUGGUAACCCGCAAGGGAACUAGGCGCCUAAGGUAAGGCUAGCGAUUGGGGCUAAGUCGAACAAGGUA
rnacentral:rRNA from 1 species